rnacentral:rRNA from 1 species
CGGGGUGCACCAGGCGCGAAAACUUUACAAUGCGGGAAACCGUGAUAAGGGGACACCGAGUGCCAGCAUCAUAUGCUGGCUGUCCAGGUGUGUAAACUACACCUGUUAGCAAGGGCCGGGCAAGACCGGUGCCAGCCGCCGCGGUAACACCGGCGGCCCGAGUGGUGAUCGUGAUUAUUGGGUCUAAAGGGUCCGUAGCCGGUUUGGUCAGUCCUCCGGGAAAUCUGACGGCUCAACCGUUAGGCUUUCGGGGGAUACUGCCAGGCUUGGAACCGGGAGAGGUAAGAGGUACUACAGGGGUAGGAGUGAAAUCUUGUAAUCCCUGUGGGACCACCUGUGGCGAAGGCGUCUUACCAGAACGGGUUCGACGGUGAGGGACGAAAGCUGGGGGCACGAACCGGAUUAGAUACCCGGGUAGUCCCAGCCGUAAACGAUGCUCGCUAGGUGUCAGGCAUGGCGCGACCGUGUCUGGUGCCGCAGGGAAGCCGUGAAGCGAGCCACCUGGGAAGUACGGCCGCAAGGCUGAAACUUAAAGGAAUUGGCGGGGGAGCACAAGGGCGAAUGCG